AUCUCGCGGGUGCGGUGGCAUGCUGGUAAUCCAAGUCACUGGGAGGUGAGGUUGGUGGAUCAAGUGAGCUGAGGAGCUUGGGCUGCAGCAGCACUAUGUUGAACGGGUGUCCACGCUAAGUUCGGUAUCGAUAUGGUGUUCCAGGGGGAGCCCGGACCACCAGGUUGUCUAAGGAGGGGUGACCGGCCCAGGUCGGAAACGAAGCAGGUCAAAUCCCGUGCUGUCCAGUAGUUGGAUAAUACCUGUGAGUAGAUGCUGCAGUGCAGCCUUGGCAAACAUCGAGACCUAAUCUUUU
rnacentral:SRP_RNA from 1 species